UACGUAGGGUGCAGGCGUUAAUCGGAAUUACUGGGCGUAAAGCGUGCGCAGGCGGUUUCUUAAGUCAGGUGUGAAAGCCCCCGAGCUUAACUUGGGAAUUGCGCUUGUGACUGGCGUGCUGGAGUGUGGCAGAGGGAGGUGGAAUUCCACGUGUAGCAGUGAAAUGCGUAGAGAUGUGGAGGAACACCGAUGGCGAAGGCAGCCUCCUGGGCCAGCACUGACGCUCAUGCACGAAAGCGUGGGGAGCAAACAGG
rnacentral:rRNA from 1 species